UCCCAAUCAUUGAAUUCGUCAAUCUAACAUUAUUAUGCCUUCAUCCAAGCUUCGACUCGAUCAGCACCCCAAAAACUGCAAGGAAGUAGAUCCUGCGACAAAACGAUCACGAGCAUCACAACAGCGAGAAAGGUUCAAUUCGAUCAGCACGAUCAGUAUCCUCAUCUCCAGGAAGGAGAUUAAGAUUGCAGCCAGGCACACAUCUCGUUAGCACCAGACGACAGCCAGUGGAUCUGAAAAUCAUACACAUCGAAAGAAGUGCAUCUCGACUAAAAGACGUGC